rnacentral:rRNA from 1 species
GACGAACGCUGGCGGCGUGCUUAACACAUGCAAGUCGAACGGUGAAGCGCCUUCCUUUUUGGUGGGUGUGGAUGAGUGGCGAACGGGUGAGUAACACGUGAGUAACCUGCCCCCUUCUUCUGGAUAACCGCAUGAAAGUGUGGCUAAUACGGGAUAUUCUGGGUCUGUCGCAUGAUGGGUCUGGGAAAGAUAUUGUUUCGGUGGGGGAUGGGCUCGCGGCCUAUCAGCUUGUUGGUGGGGUGAUGGCCUACCAAGGCGGUGACGGGUAGCCGGCCUGAGAGGGUGGACGGUCACACUGGGACUGAGUCACGGCCCAGACUCCUACGGGAGGCAGCAGUGGGGAAUAGUGCACAAUGGGCGCAAGCCUGAUGCAGCGACGCCGCGUGAGGGAUGGAGGCCUUCGGGUUGUGAACCUCUUUCGCCAGUGAAGCAGGCCUGCCUCGUUUGUGGGUGGGUUGACGGUAGCUGGAUAAGAAGCGCCGGCUAACUACGUG